rnacentral:rRNA from 1 species
CCUACGGGUGGCAGCAGUGAGGAAUAUUGGUCAAUGGAAGCGAGUCUGAACCAGCCAAGUAGCGUGAAGGAUGACUGCCCUAUGGGUUGUAAACUUCUUUUAUAUGGGAAUAAAAUGUUCCACGUGUGGGAUUUUGUAAGUACCCUAUGAAUAAGGAUCGGCUAACUCCGUGCCAGCAGCCGCGGUAAUACGGAGGAUCCGAGCGUUAUCCGGAUUUAUUGGGUUUAAAGGGAGCGUAGGUGGAUUGUUAAGUCAGUGGUAAAAGUUGGCGGCUCAACCGUAAAGUUGCGGUGGAAACUGGCAGUCUUGAGGACAGUAGAGGUGGGCGGAAUUCGGGGUGUAGCGGUGAAAUGCUUAGAUAUCACGAAGAACUCCGAUUGCGAAGGCAGCUCACUGGACUGCAACUGACACUGAGGCUCGAAAGUGUGGGUAUCAAACAGGAUUAGAUACCGUGUAGUC